rnacentral:rRNA from 1 species
CCUACGGGGGACAGCAGUGGGGAAUAUUGGGCAAUGGGCGAAAGCCUGACCCAGCAAUGCCGCGUGAAUGAAGAAGGUCUUAGGAUUGUAAAAUUCUGUCCUAUGGGAAGAAAAAAAUGACGGUACCAUAGGCGGAAGCCCCGGCUAACUACGUGCCAGCAGCCGCGGUCAUACGUAGGAUCCGAGCAUUAUCCGGAGUGACUGGGUGUAAAGAGUUGCGUAGGUGGCAUAAUAAGUAGCUAGUGAAAUCUGGUGGCUCAACCAUUCAGAAUAUUAGCUAAACUGUUAAGCUCGAGAACGUUAGGGGUAACUGGAAUUUCUAGUGUAGGAGUGAAAUCCGUAGAUAUUAGAAGGAACACCAAUAGCGUAGGCAGGUUGCUGGGACGGUUCUGACACUAAGGCACGAAAGCGUAGGGAGCAAACGGGAUUAGAUACCCCAGUAGUC